CUCCCUUAGCCAAAAUUUUAGGUUACUCUCCCUCCCAAAUUGCUCUCGGCCUCCCUCUGACUCAAUAAAAUUUUAGGUCACUCUUCCUGCUCCCAAAUUUCUCUCGGCCUCCCUCAAUCGCGCUCACCCUCGCCAUCGCUCUCAACCUCGCUGACUCAGUAUCGCGCUCCCCCUCACCAUCGCUCUCACCCUUUAUCGCCCUCACCCUCUCAACCUCAUCGACCCUCACUCUCACUCUCAGCGGCUCUCCCGAUCUUAAUCUUUGAGGUUUCCGCCACCGUUAGAUCCACCGCCCCCUCCCUCAGAUCUCCUUUGAUCUACUUCAACCAUGGAGGCGAUUGAAGAGUUGUUGCAACUGUCAGACUCGAUGCGCUAAGGCCAGGCCAUCCUCGCUGACGAAGACGUUGACGAAAACUCUACUGCCUCCUCUCACCGCUCCUCAACGUCGUCGGUCUCGGCCAGGGGCGGAUCCAGCCACGGGCUUGGUAGGGCUCAAGCACCACCGGGCUUUUCGGGCAAAAAAAAAAAAUUAGGUAUAUAGAUUUUUUUUUUUGGACCAGUCAUCUCGUAUUCUCGUUUCAAGCCCCACCGCUGCGACUUGGAGACUUGGAGACUUGGAGCACAAAGCACACCCGGCUGGACGAUCUGCAAGAGUGCAAGGCUGGAAGCCUUAUAACCAGCAAUCCGUCUUCAGUUGUCCGGUCUCCGAGCUCCGCGCAGCCUCCAGCAGUCCAGGCUUCCAAGCCGCACCUGCCACCGCCUCCAGCCUUUCGAUCCCCACCAGCAACCCGUCUCCGCGUUGUCUUCCAUUUAAUCUGUUUCAGUUCUGAGUUCUUGUUGGUUUUCAACUAAGGUAAAUAGAUUUGCAGACAGUCAAAGACUCUAAAUGAUAUAAUUGCUUGGCCUAUGGAUACUGAUUAACUGAUGGUAUAUUGAUCUUGAUGAAUUGAUGUUUGAUUACUUGAUUUUAAUAAAGUCUGUAACUUUGUAUGAUUCAUGAUUCAUGAGGAGAAAGCCUCAGACCUCAGAAGCAGAGGGCCACAGUUCCUUUGAGAAACUUGAAAAAAAAUAAAGAGACCUCAGCUUUAACAAGCUAACUGGAGAAAUUCCAAGCAGCUUUUCUGGACUAGCAAAUGUGGAUUACAUGUAAGCAAUGAAUAACAGAUCUUGAUUCUUUUACUGAUUACUAGGGGAUUUACAAUAAAGGAGCAGAAUGAGGCCUCGUGUAUAAUUAUUGACUGGAAAUAUGCUCACUGGAUCUGUGCCAGAUUGGCUGAAAGGAGACAACAUUGAUCUUUCAUACAACGAUUUCACCACUAAGUCAGCAGCUGUUAGUUGUGAACCACAAGGCGGCUUGAACUUGCACUGCAGUUGGUUUAUCAUGUUUUCUUGCUGAUCUUUUUGGACCCUCUAUUGUUCUGUUUGCAGAUCUGUUUCAUGUUUGAAAAUUGCAAAAUGUCCAAAAAGUAAGUUGGGUUGCACAUAUGUCCUUUAUAAAUGUCUAUGGCCUUUUCUUUGUUUUCCACUUCCUUCCUUCCUUUUUUCUUUUAUAUUUUUAUUAUAUUUUAUAUUUUUUAAGGCUGAAAGCUUAACAGCUAUAAAAGAUAUCAGAAUUUCUAAGGAACAAAAGACUAGAAAGUAAAAUUAUCAAUUAUCUACCACUGCUCUGAACAAUGGUGAAUAAAGAACUUGGUCUCUUUACACUUCAUAUUUAAGUAUAGAACUACAAUAUGCAAUGCAAAAAAGUUAGUGUUAAAGUUGCAAAUCUGUACGAGCA